GGUGAACGCUGGCGGCGUGCUUAAGACAUGCAAGUCGAACGGCAGUCUUCGGACUGUAGUGGCGCACGGGUGAGUAACGCGUAACUGACCUACCCCAAAGUCGCGGAUAACGAUUCGAAAGAAUCGCUAAUACGUGAUGUGCUGUCAGAUCGUGUUCUGCCAGUAAAGAUUGAUUGCUUUGGGAUGGGGGUGCGUUCCAUCAGCUAGUUGGUGGGGUAAAGGCCCACCAAGGCGACGACGGAUAGCCGGCCUGAGAGGGUGGCCGGCCACAGGGGCACUGAGACACGGGUCCCACUCCUACGGGAGGCAGCAGUUAGGAAUCUUCCACAAUGGGCGAAAGCCUGAUGGAGCGACGCCGCGUGAGGGAUGAAGGUCUUCGGAUCGUAAACCUCUGAAUCAGGGACGAAAGACACUUCGGUGGGAUGACGGUACCUGAGUAAUAGCACCGGCUAACUCCGUGCCAGCCGCCGCAGUAACAC
rnacentral:rRNA from 1 species